GUGCCAGCCGCCGCGGUAAUACGGAGGAUGCAAGCGUUAUCCGGAUUCAUUGGGUUUAAAGGGUGCGCAGGCGGGCUAAUAAGUCAGGGGUGAAAUACUACGGCUCAACCGUGGAACUGCCUUUGAUACUGUUAGUCUUGAGUAUAGUUGAAGUGGGCGGAAUGUAGCAUGUAGCGGUGAAAUGCAUAGAGAUGCUACAGAACACCGAUAGCGAAGGCAGCUCACUAAGUUAGUACUGACGCUCAUGCACGAAAGCGUGGGGAUCAAACAGGAUUAGAUACCCUGGUAGUCCACGCUGUAAACGAUGAUCACUCGUUGUUGGCGAUACACAGUCAGCGGCUAAGCGAAAGUGAUAAGUGAUCCACCUGGGGAGUACGAUCGCAAGGUUGAAACUCAAAGGAAUUGACGGGGGCCCGCACAAGCGGUGGAGCAUGUGGUUUAAUUCGAUGAUACGCGAGGAACCUUACCUGGGCUCAAAUGCAAGUUGACGUAUGGUGAAAGCCGUAUUUCUUCGGACAAUUUGCAAGGUGCUGCAUGGUUGUCGUCAGCUCGUGCCGUGAGGUGUCGGGUUAAGUCCCAUAACGAGCGCAACCCCUAUUCUUAGUUGCCAUCAGGUCAAGCUGGGGACUCUAGGAAAACUGCCUACGCAAGUAGAGAGGAAGGUGGGGAUGACGUCAAAUCAGCACGGCCCUUACGUCCAGGGCUACACACGUGCUACAAUGGCCAGUACAAAGGGCAGCUACCUGGUGACAGGAUGCUAAUCUCAAAAGCUGGUCUCAGUUCGGAUCGAAGUCUGCAACUCGACUUCGUGAAGCUGGAAUCGAUAGUAAUCGCGCAUCAGCCAUGGCGCGGUGAAUACGUUCCCGGGCCUUGUACACACCGCCCGUCAAGCCAUGGAAGCUGGGGGUACCUGAAGUCGGUGACCGUAAAAGGAGCUGCCUAGGGUAAACUUGGUAACUGGGGCUAAGUCGUAACAAGGUACC
rnacentral:rRNA from 1 species